rnacentral:snRNA from 1 species
UGAUGUGAGGGUGAUCUGGCUGCGACAUCUGUCACCCCAUUGAUCCAGGGUUGACUCGGCUGAUCUGGCUGGCUCCCUCACCGCUCCAUGUGAGUCCCUCCUGAAGCUGCACGUGUCAAAAAGGACAAUCCCAAUAGAGGAGGACCGUCCUUAGGUCAAGGGUAUACAAGUGGCUAUGCUCCCUUGCUAGAACCUCCAAACAAGUUCUCAAACUGUUGCUGCUAGGGAAAACACAAGGCCGGAUUCCUGGGAGCCUCUGGCCAUGU